UCGAACGGUAACAGGAAGCAGCUUGCUGCUUCGCUGACGAGUGGCGGACGGGUGAGUAAUGUCUGGGAAACUGCCUGAUGGAGGGGGAUAACUACUGGAAACGGCAGCUAAUACCGCAUAACGUCGCAAGACCAAAGAGGGGGACCUUCGGGCCUCUUGCCAUCGGAUGUGCCCAGAUGGGAUUAGCUAGUAAGUGGGGUAACGGCUCACCUAGGCGACGAUCCCUAGCUGGUCUGAGAGGAUGACCAGCCACACUGGAACUGAGACACGGUCCAGACUCCUACGGGAGGCAGCAGUGGGGAAUAUUGCACAAUGGGCGCAAGCCUGAUGCAGCCAUGCCGCGUGUAUGAAGAAGGCCUUCGGGUUGUAAAGUACUUUCAGCGGGGAGGAAGGCGACAGGGUUAAUAACCCUGUCGAUUGACGUUACCCGCAGAAGAAGCACCGGCUAACUCCGUGCCAGCAGCCGCGGUAAUACGGAGGGUGCAAGCGUUAAUCGGAAUUACUGGGCGUAAAGCGCACGCAGGCGGUCUGUCAAGUCGGAUGUGAAAUCCCCGGGCUCAACCUGGGAACUGCAUUCGAAACUGGCAGGCUAGAGUCUUGUAGAGGGGGGUAGAAUUCCAGGUGUAGCGGUGAAAUGCGUAGAGAUCUGGAGGAAUACCGGUGGCGAAGGCGGCCCCCUGGACAAAGACUGACGCUCAGGUGCG
rnacentral:rRNA from 1 species